ensembl:lncRNA
GUAUAUAUAUGUAUAUAUGUGUAUAUAUGUAUAUGUGUGUAUAUAUACAUUCCUUGACUUAAAUAUAGUAGUAUUUAUGAACUUCGACUUACAGUUAUUUUCCUCGGCCCGUUGCUGAAGUCAGUGAAGCGCACACACACAAUAACUACACAACCACCAUGACAUGCAUAGGAAACGCAAAGGAGAUUGGAAUCACAUCUGCCUCAGCAUUGUGAUCGAUGCACCUCUGUGGUCACACGUGCCCAAACUACAGUUACAGUCCUUCAGCUACCAACCCCUCAUUACAGGGUGAGCAUUUAAAAUGCGUCUCUGGACAUGUUAACAGGGUUCAACGAAGGUCUAAACUUUAACCAAUGACAAGAGCACAGAAAGUGUCCCAUGAGAGUUUUAGUAUUGAGGUGAAUGAGCUCUGCGUGUUUGUCCUGAUGAAGAUAAAUAAUGUGUGAGCUCUCCCAGCAGGUUGUUGUGGAGGUGUGAAGGACCAAAGCUCAGAGGAUCCAUCAGAGACCAGGACCUGGACCCGCAUCUGGAUAUGAACCUGAUCCUGGACCUGGUCCUGAACCCAGCUGUGUGUCCAUGAAGAGUAACCGGUCUAAAGAUUUUCCCAUCAACUUCAAACUUGGCCGCCCCUCUGUUGAUGCAAGUUCACAUCAGCAGAGAGGAAAGUCUCCUGAACCCAGAUGUGUGUCCAUGAAGAGUAAUCGGUCUAAACGAUUUCCCAUAAACUUCAAAGAUGGAUGCCGUUCUUAUGACCCAGAAGAGGACCAGGAGAGCUCAGAGGUCCCCACAGGUCCGUCUGCCCAGCAGCAUCAAACACAUCUGGACUCCAUCUUCAUGGUGUGUACAUGUACAACUACUUUAACAUCUCUCAGUUCACCAUCAAAUCCAUGCUGCACUUUGUAGACCAGUGGAUUGUCAAUCUGUCCAACAUGGACCUGAUGGUGGCUUCCAUGUUAUAGUUUGUGUCAUUCAUAGAAUAUUCUG